rnacentral:rRNA from 1 species
AUUGAACGCUGGCGGAAUGCUUUACACAUGCAAGUCGAGCGGCAGCGCGGCCUUCGGGCUGGCGGCGAGCGGCGAACGGGUGAGUAAUGCAUCGGAACAUGCCCAGUCGUGGGGGAUAACACUUCGAAAGAAGUGCUAAUACCGCAUACGUCCUGAGGGGGAAAGCGGGGGAUCGCAAGACCUCGCGCGAUUGGAGUGGCCGAUGUCAGAUUAGCUAGUUGGUGGGGUAAAGGCCUACCAAGGCGACGAUCUGUAGCUGGUCUGAGAGGAUGAUCAGCCACACUGGGACUGGGACACGGCCCAGACUCCUACGGGAGGCAGCAGUGGGGAAUUUUGGACAAUGGGGGCAACCCUGAUCCAGCCAUGCCGCGUGAGUGAAGAAGGCCUUCGGGUUGUAAAGCUCUUUCGGCAGGAACGAAACGGUGGGCUCUAACAUAGUCCGCUAAUGACGGUACCUGAAGAAGAAGCACCGGCUAACUACGUG